rnacentral:Y_RNA from 1 species
AGCUGGUCUCAAGGUAGUGGGUUACCUCGAUUGUUCACAAUUACAGAUCAAACUCUUUGUUUUACUCUUUCACCCCUUCUCACUACUGCAUUUGACUAGUCUAAC